GGAAAAUCCGUCGACUUUAUAAGUUGNGAGGGUUCAAGUCCCUCUAUCCCC
rnacentral:tRNA from 1 species